AUGAACGCUAGCGGCAGGCUUAACACAUGCAAGUCGAGGGGCAGCAUAAACAUUGCUUGCAAUGUUUGAUGGCGACCGGCGCACGGGUGCGUAACGCGUAUGUAACCUACCUCAAACAGGGGGCAUAACACUGAGAAAUUGGUACUAAUUCCCCAUAACACCUGAUAGGGCAUCCUAUUAGGUUGAAAGUUCCGGCGGUUUGAGAUGGACAUGCGUUGUAUUAGCUAGUUGGUGAGGUAACGGCCCACCAAGGCGACGAUCAGUAGCCGGACUGAGAGGUUUGAACGGCCACAUUGGGACUGAGAUACGGCCCAGACUCCUACGGGAGGCAGCAGUGAGGAAUAUUGGUCAAUGGUCUGACGACUGAACCAGCCAUGCCGCGUGAAGGUGACGGCCCUAUGGGUCUUAAACUUCUUUUGUAAGGGAGCAAUAAGGUCUACGUGUAGAUUGAUGAGAGUACCUUACGAAUAAGCAUCGGCUAACUCCGUG
rnacentral:rRNA from 1 species